UCAGUGUAUGCACGUGUUUGCUAAUUACUGGUCCGAGGUCUGCACCAGGCUCAGUUCCAGCAUUUACUUUAGUACCUUUAUGCAUUCUGCUAGUUUAUCUUCCAUGUCAGGAAUAAUUAAGACACUCAGCAUAUAAAUAGAGCAAACAUGCACUAAUUAAAUAACUGCGAAGCAACAGCAAAAUGAAAUCUUGCACAGCACGAGUCUCUGAGAUAAAGAUUGGAGCAGUUAAAAGUAUAAGAUCAACCUGAACUUGGAAAAGGAUAUACAAGUCCACCACUAAAAUGUGAAAAAAUGUAUGAUCCAUACCUUGCCUUGAACCUUACUAAACUAAAAAAAAUUACUGAACUUAAACUUGUCUAUUCUUUUUUUGCACUUACCAGAAAAGGAAGAGUGUGACGCCCUAUAAUCCAACUCCUCAAACUAUAAGAAACGAACUUCCUUAUUUUCCUUUGAUAACAGUGGCGUCCGCGCUUACUAUUCCACUAGGUACCUGGUACCUUCCACAGCACACCUACCGAGUAACUUUAUCCACCAAGGCUUAGGCAGAUGGGAAAGAAUCACUAAGUGUUUUAUUGUCUACAUUGGGAUUUGAACCAUAGUCUGCAUGGUUCACCCCUACUUCAUUGACUUAGGACACACCCUUCGGUGCAAACAAUGACCUUCCUCUCCAUACAACACAGAAAGGUGCCAUUCUUGGAACAGACUAAUAAGGAGAAAGCGACACAUUACCUGGAACAAAAGGAGUAAUUCUAAUGAAAUUUAAACUCAACUUGGGUGUGUUCGGUACCAAGGAAAAUGUUUUCUAAGAAAAUAUUUGGGUUUCUUACUUAUUUUCUUGUGUUCAGUAUGUAAGCAAAAGUAUAUUACCUAAAGGCAAUCGUAUAUAAUCUAGACAAAUACUAAGGGAGGUAGGGGUGUGGGGUGGUGACGAUGGGGGCUAUGGAGGUAGGGGUGUGGGUGGUGAGGAUGGGGGCUAUGGAGGUAGGGCCGUAGGGGUGAAGAUGAAGUGUGUUGGAGGGUGGGAAGUCACGGUCAAUGUGGAAUACGACUUUUGAAACUUGUUUUCCAUACUUUCAUUAGGGAAGUCAUUUUCCUUAUUUUUAAGCAACUUGAUUUCCUUGAGAAAAUGUUCUCCAAAAAAUUGACCAGCCGAACAUGGGAAAAUUGAAACCAUAAAAUGUUCUCCCCAUUACGCAAACACAUAAGCUAUCAAAGAACUUCUGAAUUUUGAAAAACUCACAAUCGGUUGCUUAAAUCUUAAGCAAUGAAUGGAGUGCUAAAUCUUUCUUUAGCUUUAAUAAGUCCAAAAACCUCCCACCAAGCUAUCAUAAGUCUUAAAAUUAUAAAUUCGUUACUCCUCUAACUUGUCUGAAGUUAAAAUAGCAUGUAAGUUUGUCUACUAUGUAAGUGCUUUAACUUGAAGUGUUAGAGACAGACCUUAAUUUUGAGUUUAUAUACCUAAAAGAUUUACAAGCAUCUUAACUUGAGCAACUUUGGAUGCUUUUUAUCCUUACGGUGCAUAGCAUUUGAUUUCUUGGACUAUCUAGAAGGGCGAAGUGGAGUUAUCUUUACAAAAAGAGACUAAUGGUAGUCAUGCAUACAUACUAGAAGAAUGAACUUUUCUUAAGUGACAAUCUCUUUGACAGUCAGCGAAGAAUAUAACAUACAGUCACCUUCCAGAAAACAGGAAAGUUCUUGCCUCAGCAACAAACAACAGACAAACUGGAAUUUAAGAAAAAAAAAGCAGAAAAGCGAGUUGAUCAGAUGAAAAACUGGAGAAUUAAGAUGAGUACCGUGAUUUUGAGCCUCCAACAAAGACCAGUGCUAAUUGUUGUGCACCGUUCCCCUGCAACACCAAAACCAGCAGCAACUAGAACAUUCAAAGUAGCUUCAACAUUUGUAUAAGGCAUGACAACAGCAUAAUUCUUGGUUCCCAUGUUGGCCUGAGGAGAAAAGUUAAAACAGUGAGUUAGCAACAACUAGACUAUGGUGCAUGGACUCGUUUACCAGUAUGUUUGAAUAUCGGUGUGUACAAGUAUUGUGUACGGACAUUUUUUUUCCCUUUUUCUGAAUAUCCAGUACAUUUUAAAGAUAUAAAUAAAGUAAGUAGCUACUUAGAGAAAGAAAUUC
rnacentral:lncRNA from 1 species